AGAGAAAGACUAGGGGUGUGAAAAACAGUGUUUGGCUGGUGUUUAACUGGAUGCUCCGUGUGCGUUCAGUGUUUUCUUAUACAACCUAGCUAGGCGAACCUAUAAACAGCCGGUUACAGCAC